AGAGCGAUAAACUGUGGUAUUAGAAAAAUAUAUUAAAUAAUUCAGAUAAGUUUUAAUUAAUUUGGAUUUACAUUAGAUAAAAUUGCCACCAAUUUUCCCUCCAGUUGUAUGAAAUUACCUUUCCUUAAUGACUGUCACAGAACCGAUAACAUUGUUGAAGGUUGUAAUAGGAACAAUAAGUACUCUAAACUAGUUGGUCAAAAACAUUUCACAAUAUGGAAGCUUAUACAGAAAAUAAAAAAACGAAAUCAACGCCAAUUAAGCCCAGUUAACAUAGGUGCUUUAGUUAAAUUAAAAAAAAAACAAAUCAAAAAGAGGACAUACACAUUCUAUAAACAUCAGUCUUAAAGAAUUGGUUAAAACUUAAAAGACAGAAUGAUGAAAAGAUAAGUAACUAUUGGAGAUUUUAUGGCUGCUGUAUUCAAUAAUAU